ensembl:rRNA 5S_rRNA 5S ribosomal RNA
GCCAGCAGCCAUAUCACCCUGCAACUCACAACCGGCAACCCACUGAAGCUAAGCAGGUGUGAGCCUGGUCAGUACCUGUAUGAAAGACCUCCUGGGAAAAACUAAGGUUGCUGCUGGAA